ACCCCCUCCAUACUAAAAUUGGAACGAUACAGAGAAGAUUAACAUGGCCCUUGCACAAGGGUUUUCCUUUUAAGACAUAACCUUCCUAA
ensembl:snRNA U6 U6 spliceosomal RNA